GAUGAACGCUGGCGGCGUGCUUAACACAUGCAAGUCGAACGAAGCACUUUAUUUGAUUUCCUUCGGGACUGAUUAUUUUGUGACUGAGUGGCGGACGGGUGAGUAACGCGUGGGUAACCUGCCUUGUACAGGGGGAUAACAGUUGGAAACGGCUGCUAAUACCGCAUAAGCGCACAGCAUCGCAUGAUGCAGUGUGAAAAACUCCGGUGGUAUAAGAUGGACCCGCGUUGGAUUAGCUAGUUGGUGAGGUAACGGCCCACCAAGGCGACGAUCCAUAGCCGACCUGAGAGGGUGACCGGCCACAUUGGGACUGAGACACGGCCCAAACUCCUACGGGAGGCAGCAGUGGGGAAUAUUGCACAAUGGGCGAAAGCCUGAUGCAGCGACGCCGCGUGAGCGAAGAAGUAUUUCGGUAUGUAAAGCUCUAUCAGCAGGGAAGAUAAUGACGGUACCUGACUAAGAAGCACCGGCUAAAUACGUGCCAGCAGCCGCGGUAAUACGUAUGGUGCAAGCGUUAUCCGGAUUUACUGGGUGUAAAGGGAGCGCAGGCGGUGCGGCAAGUCUGAUGUGAAAGCCCGGGGCUCAACCCCGGUACUGCAUUGGAAACUGUCGUACUAGAGUGUCGGAGGGGUAAGCGGAAUUCCUAGUGUAGCGGUGAAAUGCGUAGAUAUUAGGAGGAACACCAGUGGCGAAGGCGGCUUACUGGACGAUAACUGACGCUGAGGCUCGAAAGCGUGGGGAGCAAACAGGAUUAGAUACCCCUGGUAUCCACGCCGUAAACGAUGAAUCCUGGGUGUUGGGAAGCAUUGCUUCUCGGUGCCGUCGCAAACGCAGUAAGUAUUCCUCCUGGGGAGUACGUUCGCAAGAAUGAAACUCAAAGGAAUUGACGGGGACCCGCACAAGCGGUGGAGCAUGUGGUUUAAUUUGAAGCAACGCGAAGAACCUUACCAAGUCUUGACAUCCUUCUGACCGGUACUUAAUCGUACCUUCUCUUCGGAGCAGGAGUGACAGGUGGUGCAUGGUUGUCGUCAGCUCGUGUCGUGAGAUGUUGGGUUAAGUCCCGCAACGAGCGCAACCCUUAUCUUUAGUAGCCAGCGGUUUAGCCGGGCACUCUAGAGAGACUGCCAGGGAUAACUUGGAGGAAGGCGGGGAUGACGUCAAAUCAUCAUGCCCCUUAUGACUUGGGCUACACACGUGCUACAAUGGCGUAAACAAAGGGAAGCAAAGCUGUGAAGCCGAGCAAAUCUCAAAAAUAACGUCUCAGUUCGGACUGUAGUCUGCAACCCGACUACACGAAGCUGGAAUCGCUAGUAAUCGC
rnacentral:rRNA from 1 species